GUCAGUUGAGAACACCUUUAUUUAACCAGGUAGGUCAGUUGAGAACACCUUUAUUUAACCAGGUAGGUCAGUUGAGAACACCUUUAUUUAACCAGGUAGGUCAGUUGAGAACACCUUUAUUUAACCAGGUAGGUCAGUUGAGAACACCUUUAUUUAACCAGGUAGGUCAGUUGAGAACACCUUUAUUUAACCAGGUAGGUCAGUUGAGAACACCUUUAUUUAACCAGGUAGGUCAGUUGAGAACACCU